GAUGAACGCUGGCGGCGUGCCUAAUACAUGCAAGUCGAACGAAACUUCUUUAUCACCGAGUGCUUGCACUCACCGAUAAAGAGUUGAGUGGCGAACGGGUGAGUAACACGUGGGCAACCUGCCCAAAAGAGGGGGAUAACACAUGGAAACAGGUGCUAAUACAGCAUAACCAUAGUUACCGCAUGGUAACUAUGUAAAAGGUGGCUAUACUACCGCUUUUGGAUGGGCCCGCGGCGCAUUAGCUAGUUGGUAGGGUAAAGGCUUACCAAGGCAAUGAUGCGUAGCCGAAUUGAGAGGUUGAUCGGCCACACUGGGACUGAGACACGGCCCAAACUCCUACGGGAGGCAGCAGUAGGGAAUCUUCCACAAUGGGCGAAAGCCUGAUGGAGCAACGCCGCGUGGGUGAAGAAGGUCUUCGGAUCGUAAAACCCUGUUGUUAGAGAAGAAAGUGCGUGAGAGUAACUGUUCACGUUUCGACGGUAUCUAACCAGAAAGCCACGGCUAACUACGUG
rnacentral:rRNA from 1 species